rnacentral:rRNA from 1 species
AGUGAACGCUGGCGGUAGGCCUAACACAUGCAAGUCGAACGGCAGCACAGUAAGAGCUUGCUCUUACGGGUGGCGAGUGGCGGACGGGUGAGGAAUACAUCGGAAUCUACUUUUUCGUGGGGGAUAACGUAGGGAAACUUACGCUAAUACCGCAUACGACCUACGGGUGAAAGCAGGGGAUCUUCGGACCUUGCGCGAUUGAAUGAGCCGAUGUCGGAUUAGCUAGUUGGCGGGGUAAAGGCCCACCAAGGCGACGAUCCGUAGCUGGUCUGAGAGGAUGCACACCCAGACGGGAUGUGAGGAAGGUCAAACCCCCUGAGGGGGGGAAACGGUGGAGAGUAUUAAAGGAGGGGGCAGUGCCUAAGCCUGCCAAACGGGGGGGGUAAAGAAGUCUUCAGGGUGCAAAAGCCAUUUUGUUGGAAGAAAAGACAAGCUGUUUAAGCCCCGGCUUUACUGCCGGUACCCAAAGAAGAAGCCCCGGCUAACUUGGUG